AACACAUACAGUACAUGCAUACAGUCCCAUGUGUAGUUCCACUUGUAGCUGUCUAGGUGUGUCAGUGAUGCCAAAAAAAACAUACCUGUGUGUGUUUUUGAGUUAUGAAACGUGACCGGGCUUGUCUCCACUGUUCUCUGCUCUGCAAAAAAAAAAAAACAACAGCAGAGAAAAAGCUCCAGGUCCCAAAAAGGGAAAUUGUCAAUUGAAAACAGGGAAAUCCUGAGACAAAUUGAAGGUCAGUGAGUAGACAAAGAGCUGCGUCAGGCAACCAAAAGACAUGAACUCCAAUAUCAUGACUCAUUUGUACAGUCUGGGAAAACAAAACCUGAAAAAGCCCCUAGACUUCACUGUCAGGACACACAACCAGACUGUAUGUAUCAGCAGCCCCUUAGUGUUGUUCAGGUAAUCACAAAGCAUUUCAGUUGAUAGGUAAUUUGUUCAUUUGUUAAAUUACUGCUGAUUGAAAUCAGUCACUUCUUGAUACUAUUCCUCCACAUUAAAAGUUUUCCAUGAGUUAUUCACAUGGAGGCUUUUAUGGUGGAGCAGCAACAGGAGAUGUGUUGCAUUUGUCACUGGGUCAGCAGCACAGACUAUUGUUGGCUAUAACUUUGUGUAAACAAUACGAUUUUUUUUAAUUCAUUGUAUAAGUUUUGAAUAUGAAAGGGAGGAAUAGUAGAAGAAGAAGCAGCCACACUGAGCAUGUUGUGUGAAAAGCUGCAGACGACAGGCUCUUACUGCAGUUAGUGCGGACCACAACACCUUCAACACGUCAUCAAGGUAAACAACGCUUAGCAUGCCAUCCUGUUGGACGGAAAACUGCACACGCUGUUUGAUGAUUGCGUUUGCUCGCAGUGUGGUACAAGUGUCCCAGUCCUGAAAAGGAAUAUAAUGUUUCUUAGGUACCUAGCAUCAAGCAUUCUUUUUGAAACUUACAGGAGUUGAGAGGAUUGACACAUGAAAAACAUUUCCGGAUCCAGAAUUGGGUUGGCUUGUCUGUUCACUGUAAAAAAAAAAAAAAAAGAAAAGUUCUAAAUUUCAGCUGCAGCUAAUCUGAGGCUAGACAGCCAAAUCAAGUGGGUAUCUAUCAAAAUUAUGUUCUUUUAAGUACCAAAUUUCCUCUCGUUCUUGUUGCAGCUCUAUAAGGAAAACAACAAGGAAUUUGAAACAAAAAAAAGCUGCAACUUUGGAAGAAAGCCAACUUCAUUUGUCUGACUCAAACUGCUCAAGUUUUCUCAUUUUAGCUACAGCUGAACUUUAGGAUGAAUUUCUACACCGAACAAAGACUGUUGAUUUUGUCCCCCCAUCACUUACUUUGAAAUCACCCAAGUAAGGAACUCUUCAUGGUCAGUUACAACAUGAUUACAGCGACCAAAACUGAUUUGUAUGGACAGUAUUGUUUUUACGACAAUUAUGCAUCUAAAUACUCUACAUUAAACAUUCUUUUUUAAAUUUACAGGAGUUGAGAGGAGUAAAAAAA